ensembl:lncRNA
CAGGGAGAAAGCAAUUUGGCACCUGCACUGGAGGCCUUUCUCCAAAGCCAAGAGCUGCUAGGCCUGGGAAGUAAAACUUCAAAGCAUCACUAUGCAGUUUAUAACUAACAGAGAAAAGGAGGGGCCAAGGGUUUUACCUGGUUAGGGAAAGAAACACAGAGGCUGUGUAAGAGUGCUUUGAGGCCACCCUGAGCUACAGUUGAGUGCAAGUCUCCUCAGCUGCAGCCUCAUUUACCUCCAGUGAUGCUAGUACGAAUCAGGCUUUUUAACUCCUCUAGAAGGAACUUGUUUACAACAGUAAGAAACCAGUACAACUGAAAAAAGGGCAGAAGUCCCAUUCAGCUCACUCCUUAACUGAGGCAGAGCAUAUUCUUACGACGCUUGCUGAAACCUUUGUUCCCAUUACCAUUUGCAAUUGACCUCUGUGCAAGCAGACUCAGCUUGGAACACCAGAUAUGUUCAGUCCAUGAGUCGGAUCUUGUACAAAAUGAGGGGCCUAAAAUCACUAGGGACAAAGUCUUUCUUUCAAUUGCAGUACGUUUAGAGAUCUUACUUACACCCCUUCCAUCCACAGAUGAAAACUCACUUGAUUUUCCACUUGGAUUCAUGCAGCUGGAGAUAAGGAUAAAAUUAGUACUGUGAAUUCACCUGGGCUAGUAAAGUGAGUUCAAGGGACAAUGUGGAAAUUUGAUUACGUAUUAUAUCUACUUACCGAUCUAUUAUGUAUAUAUCUAUUUCACUGCUGAAAAAAAAUAAAUGAAAAAUGUCAC